CGUUAUGAAGGCAUGCUUAUUUAUGCAACAGCACAUUUUCGGUAUUUCGUUUAGGAACAAGUAUGGCAGCAGCGGCAAAAGGAGUCUUCUGGCGGGAUGAAGAGGUGGAGACCCUGCUGGACCUCGUUGCACGCUCCGGAAAAGCGGCGCGUGUAAUGAGGAGCACACAUCUGCCCACGAAGCUUAUAUUUCACAAGCUGUCGAGGCAGAUGUGUGCCCGUGGUCACAGCAGGACCCCCGAACAGUGCAGAUCGAAGUUCAAGAGGGUGAAGGGGGACUUCUACGGGGCGCUGGAAGCCUGGCAGGGGAUCCCUCGCCAGAGUGGAAAGCCCCCGUACUUUGCGUCCAUGAUGAACCUCUGGGAUCUCGCCGGAAGGCCAAGCUGGCAAUCCCGUCAUCAUGCUGGUAAGAACCUCUUAAAAGCAUUUAAUUUUAAAUUAACAACGCAGUUAAGUGCACGUCAAUGUGGAGAAACCAGGCAAAAAGUUAGAUGGUGGGGGGAGAGCUGAGAUUCCAUUCCCCCCCCCCCCGUAAUCGUCGCACAACGCCGUUUUAUUGCAAUAGCGGAUUUUUUUUCUCCUACAAAGAAACCUUUUUUUUUUAUGCUCGGCGUGAGGGACCCCAAGUUUGGGAAUGUGGCAUGUGUCGAGCCGCUGUGUUCAUCACGGUGCACAGUUGCUGGUGUUAUCUUUGUUGCACCUUUUUGUCAUGAAUGUUCCGAUUGCAAUGGUUUGAUGGAGUGUGCCAACAUUUCUUCUUCACUUUGCAGCCCUUCUCCGUGGUAGAGCUCCCACCGCUGCCGUGGGGGAGGCAAGAGCAGACGAGGAGCAGGAGGCGCUUGAGGUGGCUGGGGAGCAAGCUUCCUCUGAGGACCCUGCACAGGGAUCAGAACAGGCACCCCCUGCUAGUGCACAGGAAAGCCAACUGGAACGGUCGGAGGAGGGUCCCUCAACCAGCAGAAGGUCUGCUCCCCCAGGAAGAGCCCAACGCAGAGGGAUAGGAGAUCUGUUCACGGCCAUGGAGAGGAUGGAGGAGAGGCUAGGAUCAUCCAUCUCAAAUGUGCAAGAGAGGUUGAGCAGCGUGGAGGACCGACUAGCACGCCUAGGGCGGC